GCCGGCAUGGCGGAAUUGGCAGACGCGCGGGACUUAAAAUCCCGUUCGACUUAAAUCGAGUGUCGGUUCGACCCCGACUGCCGGCA
rnacentral:tRNA from 3 species